UAUACAAUAUGGAAAAUGUAGAUUUGGGAUCAUAAACAACAAUAGAAUAGAUGAAUAGUAUGUAUCAAUCAAACAAGGAGAGUUGGAAUCACAAAAUCAAUCCUUCCAGAUCUCUCUUUAGUACAUACAUACAUAAUACAUAAAUACAAUAGUGAUAAAACUAAAAUUAAAAAAAAAAUCUGAAGAUGAGAAGACAAUAUGAUCAUAUGACAAAUUAAGGGGAAUGAUCAGAAACAAGCAUCCAAUACACAGCAGCAACACAAGGCAGCACAGCAUCCUUUCCAAAAUCCAUCACCUCUCGAUUUAGUUUCUACACGUCCAUCAGCACCAGCAGGAGGAUCGGCACCGUCUUUCGUGGGGUAACCAGCAGGCGGCGGUGCUGCAUAAGGGCUUGAAGUUGCAGGAUACGAGACUGCGACUGCAAAUUCAAUCAAAAUACAAAUUAAUCUUAAAUUUUCCAAUCAAAAUUUAAAUCAAUCAAUUCAACAAUAUGCUAAUUAACACACACGUACCUCCUUGCGGUUGAUUUUGAUCAUACUGAUUCAUAUUGAUAAUAAUUAUAAGCUAAUUGAUACGUACUACUUAAACUAUAAUCAGAUAGCUAAUAAUAUCCUAAAGAGAGAGAUUAAGUUAUGUCGAUAUUGAAAGUAUGAAGGUUAUAUGGGGAAUAUAUAUAGACAU
rnacentral:lncRNA from 1 species